UACGAAGUAUUGCGUAAUAUUGGAUCAGUACGCCUACCCCCCUUUUAGAAAAAUGUUUGGACCCGUCCAGAGUACCGAAUCUUGCAAAGUUGCAGCAUUAAGGGCGAAAAUCGCUCUUAAAUGCGUGAUAGGUUCUCGGUGAGGUACCUCGCCGCUGAGAAGAAAUUUAGUCCAGUUUUAAGAUCUGAGAGAGCAGCAUCUGCUCCGCUCGCUGGUACUCGCUUGAAUAGGGCGUUGGCCCGUUGCCCCUUCGCUGGUAAUUUGUGUAGAAUUGUCGUUUUGCGAAGCUAUGACGAUAUAAAUCUCUAGUGAGUGCUCCAGGAAGAUUUUUUCCCAUGAUAAUGGAUUUGUAUGGUAAAAUCGAGUACUCCUACGACUUAAUGACGACGCAGUUCUAGAAGCCGGCAUUGUCCUUUGUUUCCUGUCUUAUUUAUGAUGUCAAGCCCUGAUUUCACAGAAGAAAUGUCUUUCCUGUCCCGUUUUGAAUGCCCUGCCACGCCUUGUGUCAAAAAGACACCGAUGUCUUGUUUCCCAUUCUAUUGAAGAUGAAGCCUUUGUGUCGAAAUUAUGAAACCCUUUUCCCGUAUAGUUUGUGACCUGUGACGAUGGAUUUUGUUGAAAUAAAGAGUAUAGAAGAAAGAAAAUGGCAUUGAAGCCAAAAAUGAUGAUAAAGUUGCCCAGUUUAACCCCAAAGAGGAAUUGAUGAUGAUUGUCCCCCCA
rnacentral:lncRNA from 1 species